rnacentral:rRNA from 1 species
GAAUAUUGCGCAAUGGGGGAAACCCUGACGCAGCAACGCCGCGUGAGUGAGGAAGGUCUUCGGAUUGUAAAACUCUUUUAUUUGGGAAAAAUUGUCUAAUGGCUAAUAUCCAUUAGAUUUGAUGGUACCAAAGGAAUAAGGACCGGCUAACUUCGUGCCAGCAGCCGCGGUAAUACGAAGGGUCCAAGCGUUGUUCGGAAUCAUUGGGCGUAAAGCGCGCGCAGGCGGAUCAGCAAGUCAGGUGUGAAAUCUCGAAGCUCAACUUCGAAACUGCGCCUGAAACUGCUAGUCUAGAAUGUCGGAGGGGGCAGGGGAAUUUCACGUGUAGGGGUAAAAUCCGUAGAGAUGUGAAGGAACACCGGAGGCGAAGGCGCCUGCCUGGACGACUAUUGACGCUGAGGCGCGAAAGCGUGGGGAGCAAACAG